CUAAAAGUCCGCAACGAACGCCACGAGUAGUGCUGCCCAUAUCUGCAUUAUAUUAGUCUUCAAGAACUGACACUCAUCGGAAUAGGUUGAAUAUCCCACGAUAUACUCGAAAUUUAAUGCUGAUUCCGAUGACAGCUUAAACAGCUUUUAAUGUGGAGCAGGUUGUCUUUCCUUUGCAUCUUGCGUAGAAUUUAUAUUUACGUAUGCAAAUGUGUAACUACCUCUUCGUUUACCUGUUUCAAGGGACCUGCCUGUGUUUUCACUAUGUGUUAAAGAAUUGUGAAGCAAUUCAAUAACCACGAUCUGAUGUGGAAUAGAUUACUUCGGGGUCGUCAACUUGCGAUGAAUUGAAAACUCCAAAUAUUUGACCCAACUCAUCCACAGUUGCCAAGGGGGGAAUGUGCGAAAUUACUGGAAAGAUAAUUUUAUUGUGCUGAAUAACAACACUUAGGAUGAUGAGAGACUUUGAAUUCAUUAUACAAAUGCAGCAUUUUAGGCCGCUCUUGUUUAACACGCUGAUGGAUGGUGAGUAGCGCUAUCGGGCAAGCCGGGCGGACCUGGCAGCUGAUCGGGUGGCAAUCAACGUCGCAAAUUAUCGUUCCGCAAUGUUUCCAACGUGGUGGUCCAGCUGCUGCACUCGAUCAAAUACUCGGUGGAAGUGCCCUUUUCCAACAUUGCCGCCGCUCCAUCCGUCCAUUCUGUCAACACGCAACAUCAACAGAACUCGGCCAAUUGUCACAAUUCCGGUGCUAGCAUGGCUGGCUAUAAAAAGGUGACGGACAUGUCGAAACGGCCACUAAAAAGGGCCAUGCCAGUUGCCAUCAACAUCAACCGGCCAAUAGAGUCAACAAAUUUUUAGCCCAGGCGAUCGAGGCACGUUCGAUGGGACAAGAAAAAUCCAAUCAUGUCCAUGCACUAACCCUCUGCUUCCGUGACUCGCUCAAACAG